CCUACGGGAGGCAGCAGUGGGGGAUAUUGCACAAUGGGGGAAACCCUGAUGCAGCGACGCCGCGUGUGGGAAGACGGUCCUCUGGAUUGUAAACCACUGUCCCCAGGGACGAAGAUGACGGUACCUGGGGAGGAAGCUCCGGCUAACUACGUGCCAGCAGCCGCGGUAAUACGUAGGGAGCGAGCGUUGUCCGGAAUUACUGGGUGUAACGGGAGCGUAGGCGGGACUGCAAGUUGGGUGUCAAAUCUACCGGCUCAACCGGUAGCCGCACUCAAAACUGCAGUGAUUGAGUGAAGUAGAGGCAGGCAGAAGUCCUAGUGUAGCGGUGAAAUGCGUAGAUAUUAGGAGGAACACCAGUGGCGAAGGCGGCCUGCUGGGCUUUUACUGACGCUGAGGCUCGAAAGUGUGGGGAGCAAACAGGAUUAGAUACCCCAGUAGUC
rnacentral:rRNA from 1 species